CCUACGGGAGGCAGCAGUGAGGAAUAUUGGUCAAUGGGCGCUAGCCUGAACCAGCCAAGUAGCGUGAAGGAUGACUGCCCUAUGGGUUGUAAACCUCUUUUAUAUGGGAAUAAAGUGCAGUAUGUAUACUGCUUUGCAUGUACCUUAUGAAUAAGGAUCGGCUAACUCCGUGCCAGCAGCCGCGGUAAUACGGAGGAUCCGAGCGUUAUCCGGAUUUAUUGGGUUUAAAGGGUGCGUAGGCGGGUUGUUAAGUCAGUGGUAAAAUUUUGGGGCUAAACCGUAAAAUGCCGUUGAUACUGGGGACCUUGAGUACAGUAGAGGUAGGCGGAAUUCGUGGUGUAGCGGUGAAAUGCUUAGAUAUCACGAAGAACUCCGAUUGCGAAGGCAGCCUACUGGACUGUAACUGACGCUGAUGCACGAAAGUGUGGGUAUCAAACAGGAUUAGAUACCCUUGUAGUC
rnacentral:rRNA from 1 species